UGGCUCAGUGGUUAAGAGCACUGGCAGAUGAUCUUCCAGAGGUCCUGAGUUCAAUUCUCAG
rnacentral:tRNA from 1 species